UACGUAGGGUGCAAGCGUUAAUCGGAAUUACUGGGCGUAAAGCGUGCGCAGGCGGUGAUGUAAGACAGGUGUGAAAUCCCCGGGCUAACCUGGGAACUGCAUUUGUGACUGCAUCGCUGGAGUGCGGCAGAGGGGGAUGGAAUUCCGCGUGUAGCAGUGAAAUGCGUAGAUAUGCGGAGGAACACCGAUGGCGAAGGCAAUCCCCUGGGCCUGCACUGGACGCUCAUGCACGAAAGCGUGGGGAGCAAACAGG
rnacentral:rRNA from 1 species